UGGGGGACAACGUUUCGAAAGGAACGCUAAUACCGCACACGUCCUACGGGAGAAAGCAGGGGACCUUCGGGCCUUGCGCUAUCAGAUGAGCCUAGGUCGGAUUAGCUAGUUGGUGGGGUAAAGGCCUACCAAGGCGACNAUCCGUAACUGGUCUGAGAGGAUGAUCAGUCACACUGGAACUGAGACACGGUCCAGACUCCUACGGGAGGCAGCAGUGGGGAAUAUUGGACAAUGGGCGAAAGCCUGAUCCAGCCAUGCCGCGUGUGUGAAGAAGGUCUUCGGAUUGUAAAGCACUUUAAGUUGGGAGGAAGGGCAGUAAGCUAAUAUCUUGCUGUUUUGACGUUACCAACAGAAUAAGCACCGGCUAACUUCGUGCCAGCAGCCGCGGUAAUACGAAGGGUGCAAGCGUUAAUCGGAAUUACUGGGCGUAAAGCGCGCGUAUGUGGUUUGGUAAGAUGGAUGUGAAAUCCCCNGGCUCAACCUGGGAACUGCAUCCAUAACUGCCUGACUAGAGUACNGUAGAGGGUGGUGGAAUUUCCUGUGUAACGNUGAAAUGCGUA
rnacentral:rRNA from 1 species